UAAGGGAUAGUAUUAGGGGAGUACGAAGAAUUUUGAUUUCUUAGGUGUAGGUUCGAGUCCUACUUCUUUAU
rnacentral:tRNA from 1 species